GGGGCUGUGGCCCAGCCAGGCAGGGCGACUGACUCCAGAGGUCACAGCGUCCGGGACGACAUUCCAGACUGGUAUACCGAGCGGCGGACUGAUCAUCGGCCGCGGUGACGACCCUCUGGAGUUCCGAGACGCGCCGGAGAUAUCAGUCGAUCGGGGGUUCAAAUCCCUCCGGCCCCA
rnacentral:tRNA from 1 species